ACAUAUAAUAUAUGGUAAGUUACUACAUGUAUAAAUCUUGAAAAUUAUGCAAGAAUAUAUGCAAUCCAUAUAGUCUAUAUUAUAGAAAUAAAAGCUCAACUAAUCCUUUACUAGUAGUAAAGGGUUAGUUGAACAAUUAUUUCUAUAAUACAGACUAAAUGGAUUAUUUAUAGUCUUGUUUAACUUUAUAUUUUAGACAUAUGACAUAUUAGUUUAAAUCAGUUGUAAAAUUAAAAAUGUUAACAUCUUUGAUAGGUAUAUUUAUUUAUGUUAGUUACAGCUAAGUUUACAUGGCUAGUUAUUAUGCUUUUAUAAAUUGCAAUUUUUAUUAAUUUCCAAAUUAAACAUGUGGCAUCCAAUAUCAUAAACUAAGAUUAUACUGGUGUGUUUAUGUUAUUUUAGAAUUUUUUGUUUUAGACACAUGGCAUUUGUUAUCCCACUGUAUGUUAAAACUAGUUGUAAAAUUAAAAAAUUUAUAUUGGAACUUCUUUUUCUUUUAACAUUCAUGUUUAUUUAUUUAUACUAUCUUAGAAUUUGCUGCUUUAAAGGCACUGCAUUUAGUGUCAUAUUGUAGGUUUAAAUUGGUUGUAGAAUUUAUAUUGUAACUUGCAUAUUUAUUUAGUUGAGUUUAAUCUAAGUUUAUAUCUGAUGUGUUUGUAUUAUUUUAGAAUUUACUGUUUUAGACACGUGGCAUGUGGUAUCUCACUACACUUGGUAUAAGCUGUCAUACUACACGUGGCAUGUGGUAUCUCACUAAUUAGCUAUUUUAAACAUGUGACAAGUGGUAUGACACUGUGACAAGUGGUAUGACACUGUAUUGAUGUAUGUGAAAUGUAUCGUUAUAGUUAUGUAUAGUCUUUUAGUUAUCAGAUAAUGUCAAGGAGUUGGCAGCAUGGUGUUCGAUUUAAAGUGCGAACCUGUGUACGAGUAACAACAGUAUUCAAAACCAAAACCUAUUUAAACCAACCAAACCAAAACUAGCGACCAAAAACUAUUUUGGCAUUGGUUUAUUUUAAACAUCUAUUAUAUGUGUAAAAAAAAAAAACUAUUUUGGCAUUGGUUUAUUUUAAACAUCUAUUAUAAAUCCGUAAAUUCAACGGACUUAUUUAAUUUAAUAUUUAAAACUUCCUAACGGACUUCAAUUCGUUAAAAUUUUAAUUCGUUAACUUAACGGAUUUCCCGUUAGCAAUAGCGACAGAUACAAUUCGUUGUAUAUAACGGAUUUUUUCUUAGAGUGUAGUUUUAAGGACCUUCUUUUUUUAGUCUUUUUUUCAGUCAAUUUCUUCAAAAUUCUUUAUUUGAAAUAAAGCCCCAUCACUGAUAUUAAGUUUUAAAAGUGCUUUAGAAGGAUUUUAUCUCCUUCAUGAAGACAAUUUAAU